CCUACGGGCGGCAGCAGUGGGGAAUAUUGGACAAUGGGCGAAAGCCUGAUCCAGCCAUGCCGCGUGUGUGAAGAAGGCCUUCGGGUUGUAAAGCACUUUCAGUGGGGAAGAAAGCCUUGGGGCUAAUACCCUCGAGGAAGGACAUCACCCACAGAAGAAGCACCGGCUAACUCCGUGCCAGCAGCCGCGGUAAUACGGAGGGUGCGAGCGUUAAUCGGAAUUACUGGGCGUAAAGCGCGCGUAGGCGGUCUGAUAAGCCGGUUGUGAAAGCCCCGGGCUCAACCUGGGAACGGCAUCCGGACCUGUCAGGCUAGAGUGCAGGAGAGGAAGGUAGAAUUCCCGGUGUAGCGGUGAAAUGCGUAGAGAUCGGGAGGAAUACCAGUGGCGAAGGCGGCCUUCUGGACUGACACUGACGCUGAGGUGCGAAAGCGUGGGUAGCAAACAGGAUUAGAUACCCCAGUAGUC
rnacentral:rRNA from 1 species